rnacentral:ncRNA from 2 species
AGCGGGGUACGCAACUGGCGAUAGGCGCGGCGCCCCUCCAGGCCCGCCGCUGACGUGGAAAUCCGGCAAAGACCUCUUUGCAAACCACUGGGGAGCGUACCGCGCACCGCGCGAUCCGUCGUUCGCCUGGGCAGCCCUU